GAUCAUGGCUCAGGAUGAACGCUGGCGACAGGCUUAACACAUGCAAGUCGAGGGGCAUCAUGAGGUAGCAAUACCUUGAUGGCGACCGGCGCACGGGUGAGUAACGCGUAUGCAACCUGCCCGAUACCGGGGUAUAGCCCAUGGAAACGUGGAUUAACACCCCAUAGUACUUUUAUCCUGCCUGGGAUGGGAGUCAAAUGUUCAAGGUAUCGGAUGGGCAUGCGUCCUAUUAG
rnacentral:rRNA from 1 species